UACAGAGGGUGCAAGCGUUAAUCGGAAUUACUGGGCGUAAAGCGUGCGUAGACGGUUAUUUAAGUCAGGUGUGAAAGCCCCGGGCUCAACCUGGGAAUUGCAUUUGAGACUGAAUAGCUAGGGUGCGGAAGAGGGAAGCGGAAUUUCCGGUGUAGCGGUGAAAUGCGUAGAUAUCGGAAGGAACACCAGUGGCGAAAGCGGCUGCCUGGGACAGAACCGACGUUCAGGCACGAAAGCGUGGGGAGCAAACAGG
rnacentral:rRNA from 1 species